AGUGAACGCUGGCGGUAGGCCUAACACAUGCAAGUCGAACGGCAGCACAGGAGAGCUUGCUCUCUGGGUGGCGAGUGGCGGACGGGUGAGGAAUACAUCGGAAUCUACUCUGUCGUGGGGGAUAACGUAGGGAAACUUACGCUAAUACCGCAUACGACCUACGGGUGAAAGCAGGGGACCUUCGGGCCUUGCGCGAUUGAAUGAGCCGAUGCCGGAUUAGCUAGUUGGCGGGGUAAAGGCCCACCAAGGCGACGAUCCGUAGCUGGUCUGAGAGGAUGAUCAGCCACACUGGAACUGAGACACGGUCCAGACUCCUACGGGAGGCAGCAGUGGGGAAUAUUGGAUAAUGGGCGCAAGCCUGAUCCAGCCAUACCGCGUGGGUGAAGAAGGCCUUCGGGUUGUAAAGCCCUUUUGUUGGGAAAGAAAUCCAGCUGGCUAAUACCCGGUUGGGAUGACGGUACCCAAAGAAUAAGCACCGGCUAACUUCGUGCCAGCAGCCGCCGUAA
rnacentral:rRNA from 1 species